AUACGUAGGUGGCAAGCGUUGUCCGGAAUUAUUGGGCGUAAAGCGCGCGCAGGUGGUUCCUUAAGUCUGAUGUGAAAGCCCCCGGCUCAACCGGGGAGGGUCAUUGGAAACUGGGGAACUUGAGUGCAGAAGAGGAUAGUGGAAUUCCAAGUGUAGCGGUGAAAUGCGUAGAGAUUUGGAGGAACACCAGUGGCGAAGGCGACUGUCGGGUCUGUAACUGACACUGAGGCGCGAAAGCGUGGGGAGCAAACAGGAUUAGAUACCCUGGUAGUCCACGCCGUAAACGAUGAGUGCUAAGUGUUGGGGGGUUUCCGCCCCUCAGUGCUGCAGCUAACGCAUUAAGCACUCCGCCUGGGGAGUACGGUCGCAAGACUGAAACUCAAAUGAAUUGGCGGGG
rnacentral:rRNA from 1 species